CAGUAGCCGCGGGAAUACAGAGGGUGCGAGCGUUAAUCGGAUUUACUUGGCGUAAAGCGUGCGUAGGCGGCUUCUUAAGUCGGAUGUGAAAUCCCUGAGCUUAACUUAGGAAUUGCAUUCGAUACUGGGAAGCUAGAGUAUGGGAGAGGAUGGUAGAAUUCCAGGUGUAGCGGUGAAAUGCGUAGAGAUCUGGAGGAAUACCGAUGGCGAAGGCAGCCAUCUGGCCUAAUACUGACGCUGAGGUACGAAAGCAUGGGGAGCAAACAGGAUUAGAUACCCCAGUAGUCCCUGUCUCUUAUAC
rnacentral:rRNA from 1 species